GACGAACGCUGGCGGUGUGCUUAACACAUGCAAGUCGAACGGUAAGGCCCUUUCGGGGGUACACGAGUGGCGAACGGGUGAGUAACACGUGAGUAACCUGCCCUCAUCUCUGGGAUAACAGUCGGAAACGGUUGCUAAUACUGGAUAUGAGCUUGCAAGGCAUCUUGUGGGUUGGAAAGAUUUUUUUUGGUUGGGGAUGGACUCGCGGCCUAUCAGCUUGUUGGUGAGGUAGUGGCUCACCAAGGCUUCGACGGGUAGCCGGCCUGAGAGGGCGACCGGCCACAUUGGGACCGAGAUACGGCCCAAACUCCUACGGGAGGCAGCAAUGGGGAAUAUUGCACAAUGGACGGAAGUCUGAUGCAGCAACGCCGCGUGCGGGAUGACGGCCUUCGGGUUGUAAACCGCUUUCAAUUGUGACGAAGCUUUUUUGUGACGGUAGCAGUAGAAGAAGCACCGGCUAACUACGUG
rnacentral:rRNA from 1 species